rnacentral:rRNA from 1 species
CAGGUGCUGCAUGGCUGUCGUCAGCUCGUGUUGUGAAAUGUUGGGUUAAGUCCCGCAACGAGCGCAACCCUUAUCCUUUGUUGCCAGCGGUCCGGCCGGGAACUCAAAGGAGACUGCCAGUGAUAAACUGGAGGAAGGUGGGAUGACGUCAAGUCAUCAUGGCCCUUACGACCAGGGCUACACACGUGCUACAAUGGCGCAUACAAAGAGAAGCGACCUCGCGAGAGCAAGCGGACCUCAUAAAGUGCGUCGUAGUCCGGAUUGGAGUCUGCAACUCGACUCCAUGAAGUCGGAAUCGCUAGUAAUCGUGGAUCAGAAUGCCACGGUGAAUACGUUCCCGGGCCUU